rnacentral:lncRNA from 10 species
CUUGAAUAAUAAGACUCAUUUUUCUCAAGGUGUGAGAUCUUUAUUAAUUUUACCUAAAGUUAUCAAAGUUAACAUUUUUGAAUUACACAUGCAGUCUUUUAGUAUUGUGAUGAUGUAACAUUUUUGUAACGGGGAAAAAUGUCUUGCCUUUCUAGAUAUCAAAAUGUGCUAUUAAUUUCCACAAAUAGUUUGCUAACAACUGAAAAGAUAGAUAAAUGAAUGCAAGAGAAUAGAAAAUCCAGGAACACCCAAGUAUAGAGAAUUCUUCCAAAUCAACAAGAAAAACUCUCUAAAAUUGGGUGAAGUACUUUUUCCAGCUCUGCAAGUCACCUAUGCACAUAUGAAAAAAAUACUUCGUGUUUCUGAUGAGAAUGAAUUUAAUUUAAAAAAGGAAUGAAAUACCGUUUUCUGUCCUCAAAGUUUGUGAGGAUGAGGAGCAGUGAUAUUUACACUGCUGCUUAAAGUUAAGUUGCUGAUGACUUUUCAAAAAGUCAGUUUGGUGGUAAGUAUCACAUUUAAACUAUGUG